UGUCUAAACGCAGCCUGUGUGUCUAGUGUUCAUCUCCCGGUUCAGAAUCCUGUGGGACGGAGCGAAGCAGCACACCUGUGACCUCGGUUCCCCCUGGGGAGGGGAAGAGUUAGACCGCGACACCCAGGAGGAGAGUGGAAGAGGAGAUGCUAGGGGGAGUGAGACUGUGGCUGACGCAGGGGCAGACGGAGGAGUGGACAGAGGGAGGACGGAGGAGUGGACAGAGGGGAGGACGGAGGAGUGGACAGAGGGGAGGACGGAGAGGAGGACAGAGGGGAGGACGGAGAGGUAGAACCACCCCUGGAUGAAGAUGGAGAUUUAGAGGUACCACGCAGGCCCAGACAAACACUCCCUGAGAGGGACAGAGACAUGGUCUACCCCAUCAUCCUCAGCCAGGCAAGAAGAGAGGAAGAGGAAGAGGAGGAGGAGGAGGAAGAGAAGUGUCCUAGAGACGUCAUCAGGAUAGAACACACUAUGGCCACGCCUUUAGAAGAUGUUGGCAAACAGGUCUGGCGUGGUACCUUCCUAUUGGCUGAUUUAAUCCUGUCUCACGCAA